rnacentral:lncRNA from 1 species
UUCUAGCUUACGAGAUCAGUCCUGCGCAUGCAUGUGUUUGUCAGUCCUGAUCGCCGGUGCCACAUGUUGCAAAGUUGCUAUGGUGUGGUGAUGGUUUGAAGAAGGCGGGUGGUUGGCAAUCAAUGCAUGUCCCAUGUUCGUGUAUGUGUGCAUGGAGUGUAGUGUGGGUAGGGGAGUUUUCUACACAAGGUCUCCUACAGGUAAUACC